rnacentral:rRNA from 1 species
GGAUAUGACUCCUCAUCGCAUGGUGGGGGGUGGAAAGCUUUUUUGUGGUUUUGGAUGGACUCGCGGCCUAUCAGCUUGUUGGUGAGGUAAUGGCUCACCAAGGCGACGACGGGUAGCCGGCCUGAGAGGGUGACCGGCCACACUGGGACUGAGACACGGCCCAGACUCCUACGGGAGGCAGCAGUGGGGAAUAUUGCACAAUGGGCGCAAGCCUGAUGCAGCGACGCCGCGUGAGGGAUGACGGCCUUCGGGUUGUAAACCUCUUUCAGUAGGGAAGAAGCGAAAGUGACGGGUACCUGCAGAAGAAGCGCCGGCUAACUACGUGCCAGCAGCCGCGGUAAUACGUAGGGCGCAAGCGUUAUCCGGAAUUAUUGGGCGUAAAGAGCUCGUAGGCGGUUUGUCGCGUCUGCCGUGAAAGUCCGGGCUCAACUCCGGAUCUGCGGUGGGUACGGGCAGACUAGAGUGAUGUAGGGGAGACUGGAAUUCCUGCGUGUAGCGGUGAA